UACGCCGCGAUGGAAAACGUUAAGAUUCCAACAAAAGUUCUUCUGGAUGCUAUUAUGCAAUAGGUUGGCCUUCAAGCGCAAGUUACUCAACAGACAAGGCAAGCACCGUUGGUCUUGAGUCAAGUGUUCAGUUCUAUCCAUCUGAGUACCGGUUGAAUAAUGGAAAGUAUUGAUGACUACACUCGGAGCAAGCCUUGUCGCGACGCUGCAAGUGUUGCCCCCCUCCUCCCAAAGGGCAAGGUGAAGGAAGGUGCCUGUGUGGUUCUUCUGCAGCUCGCAGCGAGGAUUGUUGUGUCCAACCUGCACAAGAAUGCCAAGAAGUCCUUCUUGAAGACGAUUAAGGACAUGUACAAGCACUACAACGAGAGAUCUGGGUUGCUUCUUUGUGGCUUCCAAACUUGGAAAUGUUUGUCUGAAAGUUAGUUUAGUUUCUUGUUUGUGGAUUCACAGCUUCUCACAUGUACCAUCCUCUUAGACAUUUAGGUUUCCAAAGAAAUUAAAUGAAGAUAUGGUGGUAUGGUCUCAAUAGUACAACUUAAAGCCUUUCAUGUUUUAUACUUUCUCUGAAAUUUGCUCUUGAAGAAUCAUGUAUCUAUGUUAGAUCCGGUGAGAAAAGGCGGUUUCCAAGCAGAGGAUGCAGGAGUGUUGGCCACA